rnacentral:rRNA from 1 species
GAUGAACGCUGGCGGCGUGCCUAAUACAUGCAAGUCGAGCGAACAGACGAGGAGCUUGCUCCUCUGACGUUAGCGGCGGACGGGUGAGUAACACGUGGAUAACCUACCUAUAAGACUGGGAUAACUUCGGGAAACCGGAGCUAAUACCGGAUAAUAUAUUGAACCGCAUGGUUCAAUAGUGAAAGACGGUUUUGCUGUCACUUAUAGAUGGAUCCGCGCCGCAUUAGCUAGUUGGUAAGGUCACGGCUUACCAAGGCAACGAUGCGUAGCCGACCUGAGAGGGUGAUCGGCCACACUGGAACUGAGACACGGUCCAGACUCCUACGGGAGGCAGCAGUAGGGAAUCUUCCGCAAUGGGCGAAAGCCUGACGGAGCAACGCCGCGUGAGUGAUGAAGGUCUUCGGAUCGUAAAACUCUGUUAUUAGGGAAGAACAAAUGUGUAAGUAACUAUGCACGUCUUGACGGUACCUAAUAAGAAAGCCACGGCUAACUACGUG